AGACUCUAUUACAGCUUCUUCUCUUGUCAUUUUGUUCAGGUACUUCACUGCAGUUUAUUUCCAUGCUCGAUCGCUCACUGUUUAUGUGUUUGUGUUACUGCCUAAUUGGACACUACCGCCCGGCGUCUCAGAUACCGCCCCUAUCAGCAGGAUGCAGGCGCUGGCUUCUAGCACCAAUUAGCUCCCAGCGAGACGCCUCUCGCACUCCUGACACUGCUGUUCCAGGAAGCUGCGAUACCGUCCAUAUUCCCCUGGACACUCAUCCUCCUACAAACAUAUCAAACAGCAAGCUGAGGCUUAUCCAGGCAUAAAGAUGUCACAGGUGAAAGAGGGUUUGUGUUUGUGUGCGAGCACAUAGAGAGCGAUCCAAUAUGGCUGCAGGGUGAUGGAGGACAACCAGCACUGCUCCUAGAUGCUGGAGAUGAUUGGACACUGUGGGGAACAGAUACCUGAUCAAUUAUUUCCCUCUCCUCUGAUGACCUUGAUGAAUUCAGUCUGA